rnacentral:ncRNA from 1 species
AGAAAAGCGUUGACGGAAAGAGUAGUUUGCGAUGAAUCAUCCAGAGAGAAUGACAUUUGGUGGAAGUCAUUUAUGAAGAUAACAGACGAAAACCAUUCCUGAGCUGUAAUGCUGAACAUCAGUAAGCGUUAUCGUAUGCCUGCGUCAAAGGAUAGGAUUUGUUAGAAUCUGAAGUGAAAAGUUAAGGUGGAACCGUGCAUCAUGCACCCUUAAG